rnacentral:lncRNA from 1 species
CACCCAUCCAAUUUUAAUACCACACAAGCCCUUAGAUUGAACUAUGAAGUGCGAUUAAUUAUUUAAUAACUACAGAGGAGGUUGAGUUAAGGAUGACACAAAUUUACCCCUGAGCAAAAACCCUCCCAUUUGAAAAAUCGAGGAUCAAGAAUGAAAAAAUCAUAAAAAAAAAAACGUAAAGAAAUGAUUACAAAAAUCGAAUCAAUCAUUUUUCUUAUCUGUCAGGGAGGAUUCGGUGAAAUCCUCGUCUCUCCCCAUGUAAUUAUAAUUCAUUUAUUCAUCCCCAUUUUAGGAUCUUUGAAAUUGUGCCCUAGACCAUGUUAUCAUUGGAUUUAUUUAUAAAGAAAAUCAAAAUAUGUGGAUGAAGUUGCGGUCCAUCUUGUGGGCGUUCCAAUCCAUGCAACCGGAUUCAGAAAUCAAAUAGUCAAUUCAAACUUUAUAAUGAAUUACAUAUUGACAAAAUCACGCACCGUAAAAGAUGCGACAUUUUGGCUCUUAUUGUUACAUCCAAAACACAAAACCAGCCCCCACUUACAUCCAUAAUUUUAUAUUCACUCUCGUCAAUGUCAAUGAUAGUAGGAGGUACCGACUCCCCAAUGUUUGAUAACUCUAAGGUGGACUAAUUUAUGAUGGCCCUUCAAGUAGUUUGAUUUGUAAUUCAAAAUCAUUUUAUCUUCAAAAAAUAUAAA